rnacentral:rRNA from 1 species
AACGCGAAGAACCUUACCAGGUCUUGACAUCCUUUGACCACGCCAGAAAUGGCGCUUUCCCUUCGGGGACAAAGUGACAGGUGGUGCAUGGUUGUCGUCAGCUCGUGUCGUGAGAUGUUGGGUUAAGUCCCGCAACGAGCGCAACCCUUAUUACUAGUUGCCAGCAUUCAGUUGGGCACUCUAGUGAGACUGCCGGUGACAAACCGGAGGAAGGUGGGGAUGACGUCAAAUCAUCAUGCCCCUUAUGACCUGGGCUACACACGUGCUACAAUGGCAAGUACAACGAGUCGCUAACCCGCGAGGGUACGCAAAUCUCUUAAAGCUUGUCUCAGUUCGGAUUGUAGGCUGCAACUCGCCUACAUGAAGUCGGAAUCGCUAGUAAUCGCGGAUCAGCACGCCGCGGUGAAUACGUUCCCGGGUCUUGUACACACCGAACAG